GUCGGUGUAGUAUAGUGGUUAGUACGCCUCGUUGUGGCCGAUGAGACCCAUGUUCGAUUCAUGGUACCGACA
rnacentral:tRNA from 1 species